GAGACAUCGCGCGUGGGGCAGGAGCCUGCGACUGGCGAGACCAAGGAAACUCGCUGCCUGGGUGCUGGCUGGACCUAUCGGAAACUUAGGUCUCCCGCAGCCGGGUGGUCGCCAACUCGAUUUGCCCCAAGCCUGGGAGCGACUGAAUAGGGACCGAAGGAAACAGGAACCUUGCCACCCUUGGCCCACCCCGGAAUUUGUAGAUGAGCUUUCCAGGAGCGCUGUGCAAGGCGACAGCGGCGUGCAGACCCGCUUUGGGACAGGUACCGUUUCUAGAGCUGCGUCCUGCUCUCUUAAUUCUUCCAGUUGCUUCCUCCACCCCCACUUCCUUUGUGCAUACCUUCAGCCUCUGUUAUUUUCAUGACUUUUUUUUUUAAGAUUAUCUUUUUCCAAGCCCCACUUCUAUCAUAAUAUCAAAGCUGAGAACUAUUUCGACCUACAUUUUGAAGAAUCAGAAUGUUCACUUCUUUGCAAAAUAUGUAAACAUAUCUUUUUCUUGACUUGUAAGUCCCAAAUGGAUAUACUCAUUUAAGAGUAUUUGUGAAUAUGUAAACACAAUGUCAUGGAAUUCUUGACUUCUCUUUCUUGGAUUUCAAAUGUUACUUAACUGGUACUGAGUAUCUUUCAACUGCAGUUCUGAUAUUUUACUUUGAAGUACUCCAUUCCUUUACGUGGUAGGUAACAGUAUUUCCAAGCAAGGGGCAAAGCAAGUUUAAUUACAGGAAGACCCUAAGUGUUUUUCUGAAAAAAAUUAAGAUACAGGGUUUGGAAAACUUCCAAAUCAGGGAGACACUUUGUACUUUAAUACUUCUCAAGCUUUGAGAGAGUAGAUUUCCUUCUUUCUUUAACUAAGAAUUAUUUUUCCCCUUUCUGUUGGCAUAAAGACAAUUGUUAGUGAUUACAUUACCUAAAAGGGAAAUGAGUUUAAUAGUUGAAACAGCUUAACCUGAGAUCACAGAUCUUCAGCCUGAAUCUUUUUCCUACUGCAGGUUAUAAUCAUCUUCCUUUUCAAGAAGGCUCAAGCCAGUCUAAGAUCUGAGGCAGUGGUGAGCAGAUAACAAGACCCAAUUAUUCCUCCUUGGUGUGCUGAGCAACUUAAUCUUGAGGCAGAACUAACUCCUAUGUUAGUGCUCAAAAAACACAGGGUUGGGAUGCCUAAGGAUAAUUUAAUAAAUAUGAUUAAUGAUUCCAGAGCUCCAAGAGUUCUGUGAACUAACCCUCUGCCUCAAAACUGAAGUAAGAUGGUCUUCAAGUUUCAGAAAAUUCUGUCUUAACUUAACCUAAAUUCUUAAGGGCUUUUAAAUCCAUUUUUCCCUGUAGUUCUGCAUUUAGUCACUCUCCUUCCUUAUAAUUAAAAUAUUUGAAGAAACUGUUACCAUCUAGCCUUCUGUUCUUUAAACAUUUACUUUUCUCCCUUAUUUCCUAUUUUUCAAUUAGCUUUGCUUCUCUUCUGAACCCUUUCAUUAUUUUCAUGUCUUUUUCAUUGAAAGUCAAACCUAUCAAAAGACUUCCCACAUUAAAUAAAUUUCUGUUUUAUCCUUAAUGGAACACUGUGUUUGUUAUUAGUUACAUUUACUUGAGGUGGAGCUGCCAUAUCCCUUUUCUAACAUUUAGUAAGCCCCUCAGUUUCUGAAAACCAGUCACCCGGACUCUCUAAGUUAGGAUAGUGGUAGGAACCUUUGGGAAUCUCAGAGAUAACUAAGCUCUGAAGUCACUUAGCAUCUUGUUUCCUGUGGAGGACAGAGGCAGUACAGAAAUAAAAGCUAGUUCUUUCUUUGCAUGUUUGCCACCAAUUAGAAUUAAGAUUAGAAAUGUGAUACACAGAACCAGACCAGCGUAGUUGGUGUACAUCAUUAUCUGCAGCAAUGUUUUCAGGAGAAUCAUCGCCAAGCCCUGAUGUUCUUUUUAAAAGAAAAAUAAAACCUAUCUAAGCAAGAAC
ensembl:lncRNA